UACAGAGGUGGCAAGCGUUGUUCGGAAUUACUGGGCGUAAAGGGCGCGUAGGUGGCCUUCUUAGUCAGACGUGAAAUCCCCAGGCUUAACCUGGGAACUGCGUCUGAUACUGGAAGGCUCGAGUUCGGGAGAGGAAUGUGGAAUUCCAGGUAUAGCGGUGAAAUGCGUAGAUAUCUGGAGGAACACCGGUGGCGAAGGCGGCAUUCUGGACCGAAACUGACGCUGAGGCGCGAAAGCCAGGGGAGCAAACGGG
rnacentral:rRNA from 1 species